rnacentral:rRNA from 1 species
AUUGAACGCUGGCGGCAUGCCUUACACAUGCAAGUCGAACGGUAACAGGUCUUCGGAUGCUGACGAGUGGCGAACGGGUGGGUAAUACAUCGGAACGUGCCUAGUAGUGGGGGAUAACUACUCGAAAGAGUGGCUAAUACCGCAUGAGAUCUACGGAUGAAAGCAGAGGAUCGCAAGACCUUGUGCUACUAGAGCGGCCGAUGGCAGAUUAGGUAGUUGGUGGGAUAAAAGCUUACCAAGCCGACGAUCUGUAGCUGGUCUGAGAGGACGAUCAGCCACACUGGGACUGAGACACGGCCCAGACUCCUACGGGAGGCAGCAGUGGGGAAUUUGGACAAUGGGCGCAAGCCUGAUCCAGCAAUGCCGCGUGCAGGAUGAAGGCCUUCGGGUUGUAAACUGCUUUUGUACGGAACGAAAAGCCCCGGGUUAAUACCCUGGGGUCAUGACGGUACCGUAAGAAUAAGCACCGGCUAACUACGUGCCAGCCGCCGCAGUAA